GACGAACCGUGCGAACGUUAUUCGGAAUCACUGGGCUUAAAGGGCGCGUAGGCGGGUCAUCAAGUCCGGGGUGAAAUCCCACGGCCCAACCGUGGAAGUGCCUCUGAUACUGCCGGCCUCGAGGGGAUAGGGGCGUGCGGAACUCAGGGUGGAGCGGUGAAAUGCGUAGAUAUCCUGAGGAACACCGGUGGCGAAGGCAGCCCCCUGGGUCAAGAUUGACGCUCAUGCACGAAAGCGUGGGGAGCAAACAGG
rnacentral:rRNA from 1 species